AUGGAGCGCACGGGGGUAAAAGACCCACCGCCACCUGCCCACACCGCCCUCCCUCGGGUGCCGGAGACCGGAGGGCGACACCGCGACCCGGGCCACCUGGAGUCCAGCACGAGAGCCGGCGCGCAGGCCCAGGCGGACGGCUCAGGCUCCAGCGAGCGAGGACAGGGACCGGCUCGGCCGCGCGGUCAAGCCCGGAACCCCACCCGCGCCCAGAGGCCCACAUCUCUAAGGCGAGCGACGGACGGACCGGCUGUCUUUUACGUCUGCCUGUCGUCUGUCUGCCUGUCGCCGAAACACAACGUGUCAGCACCUACCUGGCAACAAAAAAUGUUCAUUUCGGGCAAGAAAAUAACCGCGCCUGCCGGCGGGGACCAGCCACAGGUCACCGCGACCUCCCGGGACCGUGACACGGCCAACUGUACCCAAAACCUGCCCCACGGCGCCCCCCCACCCCCACCCCACGGAGCCCCCAGGGCUAUCUGGUCGACCCAGGGAACGCGGGGGGGGGGGGGGGAGGGGAGGAGGGGCGAUACGCGGUCGGUGGAGACGCCACGCCGCCACGCCGCCACGCCGCCACGCCGCCAAGCCAGUGAUCUCCGAGAGGAGACUUUGAAAAAUCAUCAAAGUUCUCCGGAGGCAGGCACCGUGCGGAGGCCGUCCCCCGCGGCCCUCAGGACCGCCCCGUGCCUACCGCCGUCCCCAACCCCGGCUCGGGCCAGGGGAGGUGGAGGGCCACGCGCGGCAGAGGCAGCCUCACCGGGAAUCGCCACCGGGGCCGGACGCCCGAACGGACGGCCCGCCCACCCCCGCGUGGCACCCGGUCCGACCGCCCGGGACCCACCUCCGCAGCGGGCCUCGGAACAAGGGGAGAAAAUCGCGUCCGACGCCCGGGACCCCCACACGUGCCCGCAGCCGGGUCUGUCGCGCCACCCACGGGCUUCCCCUCCAGGCUCAGACCGGUCCCCGUCGCCAGGGCGUGACCACGGGAGACAACCGAGUGACACGGAAGGCAGGCCCGAAGAUCGCCCGGAGCCACAGGACGGACGGCGGGACACACCCUGUCCCCCGCCCCCGAGGCGGCCCAGGUCGGUCCGCGCGGGCGGAGGAGGAGCCACCGGCGGGUGCUGGUCGACCCACCCAGGCGGCCCGCACGGCCUCCUCCGGGAGCGAGGCGGAGGCGACAGCGGCGACAGCGGCGACGGCGACACUCCCUCGCAGCUCCGGAGGUCCAAUCUCCGGCGAGCGCAUCGCGCGCCGAGGCCCCGGCGACAGCCGGACGCUCGCGCCGGAGCCGCCCUCCUCCUGGAACUCGGCCCCGGGAAACCGACACCAAAGCUGUUCCUUGCCUGUCGCCGCCGAGCCUCCGGAGGGGACACGCUCUAUAAAAGCGGCCGCCAGGUGGCACCCGACAACCGGCGCGAACGACAGCGGGACAGAUCCGGGCGGCGAGGCCGUCAGGGCGCCUCGGAUCUCGCCUCUCGGCCCGGGGACGGCGGAGGGCCCCGGGAGCACACGGCCGCGCACCGCGCGAACCCCCGUCCUCCCGGGGCGGGGGAGCCUUGGAAAACCCGUCCGUCCGUCCGUCCGUCCGUCCGGGCCCGCUGCCGCCCGGAAAGGGGGUCGCGCUCGCCGCGCGGGGCUCCCGGGACGACUCAGGCACGUUUCCGAGGUCAGGGAGGGAACGUAGAGCCGAAACCAGGCGAGGACUCUUAG
rnacentral:lncRNA from 1 species